rnacentral:tRNA from 1 species
GGGGAUUUAGUUCAGUGGUAGAGCACUUGCCUAGCAAGCGCAAGGCCCUGGGUUCGAUCCCCAGCUCCG